AACGAACGCUGGCGGCAUGCCUAACACAUGCAAGUCGAACGAGACCUUCGGGUCUAGUGGCGCACGGGUGCGUAACGCGUGGGAACCUGCCCUUAGGUUCGGAAUAACUCCCCGAAAGGGGUGCUAAUACCGGAUAAUGUCUUCGGACCAAAGAUUUAUCGCCUUUGGAUGGGCCCGCGUUGGAUUAGCUAGUUGGUAGGGUAAAAGCCUACCAAGGCGACGAUCCAUAGCUGGUCUGUGAGGAUGAUCAGCCACACUGGGACUGAGACACGGCCCAGACUCCUACGGGAGGCAGCAGUGGGGAAUAUUGGACAAUGGGCGCAAGCCUGAUCCAGCAAUGCCGCGUGAGUGAUGAAGGCCUUAGGGUUGUAAAGCUCUUUUACCCGGGAUGAUAAUGACAGUACCGGGAGAAUAAGCUCCGGCUAACUCCGUG
rnacentral:rRNA from 1 species